UACGUAGGGUGCGAGCGUUAAUCGGAAUUACUGGGCGUAAAGCGUGCGCAGGCGGUUUUGUAAGCCAGAUGUGAAAGCCCCGGGCUCAACCUGGGAAUGGCAUUUGGGACUGCAAGGCUUGAGUGCGGCAGAGGAGACUGGAAUUCCUGGUGUAGCAGUGAAAUGCGUAGAUAUCGGGAGGAAUACCGAUGGCGAAGGCAGGUCUCUGGGCUGACACUGACGCUCAUGCACGAAAGCGUGGGGAGCAAACAGG
rnacentral:rRNA from 1 species